CCUUGCGUAGCUUAGUGGUUCAAAGCACCCGCCUGUCGAGCGGGGGAUCGCCAGUUCAAAUCUGGUCGCAAGGACCA
rnacentral:tRNA from 1 species